rnacentral:rRNA from 1 species
GUGAACGCUAGCGGCGUGCCUUAAGCAUGCAAGUCGAACGGUGGUAGCAAUACUACAGUGGCGGACGGGUGAGUAACGCGUAGGAAUCUACCCUAAAGUGGGGGAUAACCCGCCGAAAGGCGGGCUAAUACCGCAUGUGAUCGCAAGAUCAAAGCUCUUAACUGAGCGCUUUAGGAGGAGCCUGCGUCCCAUCAGCUUGUUGGUAGGGUAAAAGCCUACCAAGGCGACGACGGGUAGCUGGUCUGAGAGGAUGAUCAGCCACAAUGGCACUGAGACACGGGCCAUACAUCUACGGAUGGCAGCAACUGGGAAUCUUUGACAAUGGGCGAAAGCCUGAUCAAGCGACGCCGCGUGAAGGAUGAAGGCCUUAGGGUUGUAAACUUCUUUUGCCAAAUCGUCGAGAUUUGGAGAAUAAGCCGCUGCUAACUACGU